rnacentral:tRNA from 1 species
GAUCCAUUAGCUCAGUUGGAUAGAGCGGCUGCCUCCUAAGCAGCAGGUCGGACGUUCGACUCGUCUAUGGGUCACUA